ensembl:lncRNA
UUUUUUUUUUUUUUUUUGAGACGGUCUCACUGUUGCCCAGGCCCGCAUGCAGUGGCGUGAUCUCUGCUCACUGCAACCUCAGCCUUCCAGGCUCAAGCAAUCCUCCCACUUCAGCCUCCCGAGCUGAAGUAGAGGAUUUCCUGAGCCCAGGAGCUUGAGGCUGCAGUGAGCCAUGCUCAUGCCCACUGCACUCCAGCCUGGGUGACAGAGUGAGACCCAUCUUUAAAAGAAAAAUAAAUAAAUAAAUUAAUUAAUUAAUUAAAGAUUAAACAGUAGGUGUUAGAUGUUGGCAGAAUUCUAUUGAAAGGUUUCAGAGAUGCUAGGUGUGGUGGCUCAUGCCUGUCAUCUCAGCACUUUGGGAGGCCAAGGCAGGAGAAUCAUUUGAGGCCAGGAGUUCGAGACCAGCCUGGGCAACAUAGCAAGACUCUUUCUACAAAGUUAAAAAAAAAAAAAAAAGGUUUCAGAGCUCACAUGUAAUUGCAGUGAUUCUGGAGGCCGAGGUGGGAGGAAUGCAUGAGCCCAGGAUUUGGAGGUUGCAGUGAGACAUGACCACACCACUGCACUCCAGCCUGGAUGACAGGGAGACUCCAUCUUUUUAAAAAAAUAAUAAGAAGAAUAAAUAAAUAAAUAAUAAAGCUUUCAGAGGCUGAGUUAGGGUCUCACUUUAAUUUGAGAAGUUAGGAUGGCAGCUGGAAGUGACCACCUACUCCUCAGUAUUAAUAGUCACCACUCUUAAAAAUAGUCACCCCACCACAGAUGGGGCCUCAAGUUACCACAGGUGUUAGUCUUGAAGAGUAAUGUCCAAAAGAAAUAUAAUUUGAGCCACAUCUGUCAAUUGUCUAGUAACUCCACUAAAAAAGCAAAAUGGAACAGAUGAAAUUCAUUUUAAUAUUUUAUUUAGCCCAAUAUAACAAAAUAUUAUUUCAAUAGGUAAUCAAUAUUAAAAUUAUUAAUGAAAUAUUUAACAUUUUCUUUUCAUACUAAUUCUUGGAAACAUGGUGUUUAUGUCAUAUAGCACAUCUCAAUUUGGACUAGCUGCAUUCAAGUGCUCAAAUACCCAAGCAGCUCUACAAGAUGCUAAUGAGCAAGGAAAGUAGCUUAAUUUAGUGGAAAUCCAGAAAUGCCAAGGUUGGAAAUACAGUUUCUCAGGGGUCUGGAACAGACUUUGAAAUCACUAGUCCAAAUACUAUUUGAUAUUUGCAUCUUGUCCUCAACGUUCCUAUCACGGAGCCAUCCAAGACUAGUCCUUGACUCACACUCCAGGGAUGGUGAGCUCACUGUUUCCUGAGGCUAGAGUGUCUUCAACUCAAAAAAGUUCUCAUUCCAUUAAGGCACGUAUGUUUUCUUACAGUGUCCACCCUGGUUAGGUGGGUUCUUGGAGGUCAGGAGUGACUAGCAGACCUUUAUGAUGUGGGAUUAGAGAUUAAGUGAACACACCCUUGCUAAAGGCAUUAUCAGGUUGGUUUAUGGUCUUUCAUGGACCUUAAUUAAGAGGUUUGUUAGGCUAAGAAGGAUUGGGGGAGUUAAGAACUAAAAAAUGUCACCACUGAGUUAGGAACUGUUAGUAGGCUAGUGCUGGAUAUCUGGUUAACAUCGUCCGGUACACUACAGCAAGACUAAAAGAGAAAAAGAAAAAGGUGUGUAUCUAUGCAAAUUUCGCUAAUAUGGAGAUAGAAUUUCACUAAUAUGGACAUAGUGAUUGGGAGAAUCAUUUGACUUAUUAUAAACUUUAAAAAUGUUCACAGAGUAAAACAUAAUUGGGUUCUAAUUCAUAAAGAAAGUCAUUUCCAUUAGACUCGUAUUACAAAAAAAAAAAAAAAAAAAAGUCAUCCUAAAUCUUAACGUACACAUGCUUUAUCAAAAGAAUUUCCGGACCCAGAAAUCAAAGGCACUUCAAAAGUCUCAUUUCCUGUCUUGAGUUUGUUUUAACAUAUUCCUCCCGCAAAAACGCUCUGGAAAUCAAAGAAAACUUUUUAAAAAUUUAAUUCAAUAAAAAUGACACCGACUGGCUGAAUUAUGAUGGGUUCUGAGUGGCGGUUGAAAUAACACAUUUUUCCUCUAUUUCCUCUCUCUCAUUUUUUUUUUUUUUUUUUGGUUGCGAAGAGGUGUUCUUUUCCGGGCCACCUUCACCCUCCCGCACUCCCCAGUUCUACCUUUCCAAGGCUGGGGAAGGUGCAUCCUCGCCAGGCUCCUGCCCGUGCC